rnacentral:rRNA from 1 species
GGAUGAACGCUAGCUACAGGCUUAACACAUGCAAGUCGAGGGGCAGCAUUUUAGUUUGCUUGCAAACUGAAGAUGGCGACCGGCGCACGGGUGAGUAACACGUAUCCAACCUGCCGAUAACUCCGGGAUAGCCUUUCGAAAGAAAGAUUAAUACCGGAUAGCAUACGAAUAUCGCAUGAUAUUUUUAUUAAAGAAUUUCGGUUAUCGAUGGGGAUGCGUUCCAUUAGUUUGUUGGCGGGGUAACGGCCCACCAAGACUACGAUGGAUAGGGGUUCUGAGAGGAAGGUCCCCCACAUUGGAACUGAGACACGGUCCAAACUCCUACGGGAGGCAGCAGUGAGGAAUAUUGGUCAAUGGGCGAGAGCCUGAACCAGCCAAGUAGCGUGAAGGAUGAAGGCUCUAUGGGUCGUAAACUUCUUUUAUAUGGGAAUAAAGUUUUCCACGUGUGGAAUUUUGUAUGUACCAUAUGAAUAAGGAUCGGCUAACUCCGUGCCAGCAGCCGCGGUAAUACGGAGGAUCCGAGCGUUAUCCGGAUUUAUUGGGUUUAAAGGGAGCGUAGGUGGAUUGUUAAGUCAGUUGUGAAAGUUUGCGGCUCAACCGUAAAAUUGCAGUUGAAACUGGCAGUCUUGAGUACAGUAGAGGUGGGCGGAAUUCGUGGUGUAGCGGCGAAAUGCUUAGAUAUCACGAAGAACUCCGAUUGCGAAGGCAGCUCACUAGACUGUCACUGACACUGAUGCUCGAAAGUGUGGGUAUCAAACAGGAUUAGAUACCCUGGUAGUCCACACAGUAAACGAUGAAUACUCGCUGUUUGCGAUAUACAGUAAGCGGCCAAGCGAAAGCAUUAAGUAUUCCACCUGGGGAGUACGCCGGCAACGGUGAAACUCAAAGGAAUUGACGGGGGCCCGCACAAGCGGAGGAACAUGUGGUUUAAUUCGAUGAUACGCGAGGAACCUUACCCGGGCUUAAAUUGCAACAGAAUAUAUUGGAAACAGUAUAGCCUUAAGGCUGUUGUGAAGGUGCUGCAUGGUUGUCGUCAGCUCGUGCCGUGAGGUGUCGGCUUAAGUGCCAUAACGAGCGCAACCCUUAUCUUUAGUUACUAACAGGUUAUGCUGAGGACUCUAGAGAGACUGCCGUCGUAAGAUGUGAGGAAGGUGGGGAUGACGUCAAAUCAGCACGGCCCUUACGUCCGGGGCUACACACGUGUUACAAUGGGGGGUACAGAAGGCGGCUACCUGGUGACAGGAUGCUAAUCCCAAAAACCUCUCUCAGUUCGGAUCGAAGUCUGCAACCCGACUUCGUGAAGCUGGAUUCGCUAGUAAUCGCGCAUCAGCCAUGGCGCGGUGAAUACGUUCCCGGGCCUUGUACACACCGCCCGUCAAGCCAUGAAAGCCGGGGGUACCUGAAGUACGUAACCGCAAGGAGCGUCCUAGGGUAAAACUGGUAAUUGGGGCUAAG